AGAAGGUGGAAGUGAUAUUAUGCCAGGUCCAGACUUAGGCCUUAGGAGGCCUGGCAGUUUCCAUUUUCACCCUCUUGGGAUCCAGCCACUAUGAAACCAAGUUCACCUGCUUUAUUGGAGAGAGAAAUGACCUAGAAGAUGAAAGACAGCAAAGGGAGAGCAGGAUGCCCAGCCAGCCACCAGCCAUUCUGACCCCUUCAGCUGAGGCACUGCAUGGGUGAGUGAAGCUGUGGGAUCUCACAGUCCCAGUUGAGCCACCUCAGCCAAAACAUCACAUAAGAACACAGAUGAGCCGUCCCAACUGAGCCCUGCCAAACUACAGAAUUACAGCGCUGGGGAGAAUGAACGCCUGAGUACUCAUGUCUUUAUGCACUGUAGUAUUAUUUCCUUACAACAGACUCCUGAACCUGGAACGGCAGUGUCAAAGGGUUCACAAAAUGUUAGACUUCUGAAGCAAAUCAGAUGGCACCUUUUUUGAAUAAUGAAGAAUCUUUACCCCUGGCAUGAGGAGCUGAGGACAACUCCCACUCCACGAUGUGAAGCCACAGAGUUUCGAGGCCCCAGGACCUCCAGCGUCAAUGUUGUGGGAUGAUGGGUGACAGAGCCAAAGCAUCGCCAUCUUGGACAAGCACGGUCAUUCUGAAGUUCCCCUUGAUCAAAAACUGCCUAAACCCAAAGGAUAUCAGCCUGAUGGCUAAGGUCAGCAUGACCAUAAACCAUAAAUAACAUCUCUGACCAGGAACAUUCCAAACCCCUCCAUGAGACAUGCCAGCCCUGAGAUAACCUCCCCUCCGGCCAGAAAGAUGUCAGACCCAAGAUAACCUCCCCUCCGACCAGAGACAUCCCAACCCUGCCAUAAACUUCUCCCCCACACAGAAACAUUCUGAGCUUGUAAUAAGCCCCCUCAUCCUAAAACCAAUAUAUACUCUUAGUCCGUAAGAGAAAGUGCUCCUGAACAAAAUUGGCCAGAAGCCCCUCUCCGGCUUAUUUUCUCUAAAAUACAUCUGUCGUUAAAUUGAGCCACAGUUCGUGUUUCUUCCCUCUUUCUUUAACUCUUACAAUGGGAAGCAAACUUUUUUAGUGGGUUAUUAGGAAUAAUAGUGAAAAGCAUAAUUCUCCUCUCCAGGCCUUGCUUCCUGGACCCACACAUCUCACCUGUGGGGAAGAUGGAACCAUAUAUUGGCCACUGGUUUAAUGUACAAGAUGUGUCUCCAGUCCCAAUGGUAGACAUCCUAUAGCCAAGACUCCAUCCAAUUGCCUGACCUCCACAUGUCCCUACUCUGACUGGAACCUUGUGGGUAGUUUAGGUCUCUGAGGAUCAGUCAAGCUCAGAGCAAGAUUGAAUAACCCCUGGAAGGUGUGGAUAUUCCUAUUUCCCCAGGAUCAGAGGCAUAUUUACCAUAAAGCUAAUGAUGCUUAUGCUUCAAGACUGCUCACUUACUAAAGCCCUGGUGUUAACAUGAUCAUAUGCAUUUAUAAAAUUUGCAAACAUAAAAAAUUUUUUAGUUGGGCUUUAUUUUUUUUUUAAUAUUUUUCAUUUUUCGAGAUGGAGUUUUGCUCUUGUUGCCCAGGCUGGAGUGCAG
rnacentral:lncRNA from 10 species